UAUUGUUAUUUCUGGAUUAUUGAAAUCAAUAAUAAAGAGAUCGAUAAUUUUUUAUUAUUGUUUAAAACUCUCACUUAGUUAUUUGUAAAUCAAUUACUGUUUAACCUAUGAAGAACGAAUGCUGAAGGGAGCAUUAAAAAGGCCGUUAUUUGGAGGUUUCUGAAAAAAAGACUGCAGUUUACAGAUGGCUUUUAAUGGAGAUUUAAUAUAGAACAGACUAAGAAUUAUGGCAGAUUUUCAUCAGUGUGUGACUAAAUCUCAACACCUAAGGCCCUGACUCAUUUUGAAACUCCAUUAUGGACAGUCACCACGUGUUCCGUAAAUUCCAGAGAACUUGCCUUCAAUGCCCAAACGUGCCAACUUGUUCUUCCCUUUGGGCAACUGUUCAUUGAAUUGCCUCAAGAAUGAAUAAAAUACAGUACAUCUGUGCUUUAACGUUAUGUUUUAUGGUGUUUCUUUACUCUAUACCAUCCGUGGAAAGCAUACCUUAUGUACAUACAAAAUACCAUGCGAUAGGAAAACCG